AUGUCAAUGUUUGGGAAUGGAAAGAGAAGAAGGUUGUUGAAGAAACUGAGAAAGGAAUCAUUAAGGUUGAAGUUUCUAUGGCCGUCAUCAUCACUGUUCAAGUGGAACAGGCUUACUUUGCCUCUUUCAUUCAUGGACGAUGUUGUUUUUAAGGUUGUUUCUGCCUUUGAAGCUGUUUUUCUUGUACUUACUCUCUGUUUUUUUUACCUUUGUUGUGGUUGUAGCUUCUGA